ACGGGGGGUGCUAGCGUUGUUCGGAAUCAUUGGGCGUAAAGAGCGUGUAGGCGGCUGGAUAAGUCAGAUGUGAAAGCCCUGGGCUUAACCCAGGAAGUGCAUUUGAUACUGUUCAGCUUGAGUAAGGGAGAGGAAAGCGGAAUUCCUAAUGUAGCGGUGAAAUGCUUAGAUAUUAGGAAGAACACCAGUGGCGAAGGCAGCUUACUGAGCUUUAACUGACGCUGAUGCACGAGAGCGUGGGGAGCGAACAG
rnacentral:rRNA from 1 species